rnacentral:rRNA from 1 species
UGGGGAAUAUUGCGCAAUGGGGGGAACCCUGACGCAGCCAUGCCGCGUGAAUGAAGAAGGCCUUCGGGUUGUAAAGUUCUUUCGGUAUUGAGGAAGGUUGAUGUGUUAAUAGCACAUCAAAUUGACGUUAAAUACAGAAGAAGCACCGGCUAACUCCGUGCCAGCAGCCGCGGUAAUACGGAGGGUGCGAGCGUUAAUCGGAAUAACUGGGCGUAAAGGGCACGCAGGCGGUUAUUUAAGUGAGGUGUGAAAGCCCCGGGCUUAACCUGGGAAUUGCAUUUCAGACUGGGUAACUAGAGUACUUUAGGGAGGGGUAGAAUUCCACGUGUAGCGGUGAAAUGCGUAGAGAUGUGGAGGAAUACCGAAGGCGAAGGCAGCCCCUUGGGAACGUACUGACGCUCAUGUGCGAAAGCGUGGGGAGCAAACAGGAUUAGAUACCCUGGUAGUCCACGCUGUAAACGCUGUCGAUUUGGGGGUUGGGGUUUAACUCUGGCGCCCGUAGCUAACGUGAUAAAUCGACCGCCUGGGGAGUACGGCCGCAAGGUUA